CUUUCAAAUCUAUAUUUAGAAGUUUUGUAUAAGUUGGACUUGGAGUAAGUAGUCUAAAAAAAAAAAAACAGAUGCGUGUAUUCAAAUUUAUGGCUAUAGGAAGUAAGCUUGAGAUUCAUAAACAUUUCUGAUAUCAAGUGGGAUUCCUGGAGGUAGACUGUAUUAAUUUACAGAAUCUAUAAGGAACCCUGGAGGCAGAGUAUUAGUUUACAGAAGUUAUGGUUAUCAUUAAUAUGUAUUCACAUUUUCUACUUCUGCAACUUUCUUGCAUCCUUCCAACCAAAUUUUUUUUCUUGCAUCCUUAAUAACUACAUGAAUUUGCAUUUUUGAUGGUAGGGAAGCCUUCUUUUAGAAAGAAACAAGCAGAUCUUUUGUUCCCCCAGAUUUUGCCAAAGACUUUCCAGUUGCAAUGCAGAUAUCCCACAAAUACAGUUUGAUCUACGUGAUCACCAACCUUCGGCUAUUAUUUGUUUAUGACUUGGAGACCGCUACUGCAAUUUAUAGAAAUAGAAUCUGUCCAGACCCAAUAUUUUUUACAGCAGCUUCACCAGUGGGAGGUUUUUUAUGCAAUCAAUAGGCAUGGACAGUUGAACAAUUUGGAGCCUGCUGUCAAUCUUGCCAAAAGAGGGAAUCUUCCUGGAGCCGAGCA